UCUCAAAACCAUCUUCUCGAUCUGUUGAACCAACAAAGUAAACUUAUUUUCUGAGAAAUGGCUAACUCGAAAAUUCUUCUUUUUGAUUUGAGGUUGGGUAGAUGUUCCUCCACCGCUGAGGUGGUUACGGUUCUGGGACAGGAAUGUCAAGCAAAAUCUGGAACCAAGAAAGAUGAAGAAUUGAGACGCGGAGUACGUGAGUGGCAAAGCGGCAGAGUAAGCGACAGAGAGAAACGCAGCACUCGGCGGAGGUAAGCGGUGGAGAACAACGCAGCAAAGGCGCAUAACAAUGAACAAGCGGCGUUGAGAUGGAGCAAGUGACGGAAAUAGUGAGAUGGAAGCCAUGGAACAAGUGACAGAGAGUGUGACGAGAGAUAGAUAAGGCAAUUGCUGCAAUUCAAUCAGGCACGAGGGAGGUUGAUAGGCUCUCGGACAGGAUACUCAUGAUGAGAAGAUGACACCUAUUGAAGAUAUCAAAUCUCUAAACAUGAAAACAUAACCACGGGGAUGAUUGAAGGUGAUUGAAGAUCCGUUUGUUGAUACUGAAAAGAGCUGCAUACUGCAUUGGAAGACGCUAGGAAAAGGCUUCGUGUAAUAGAGGGCUGAAGCUUCUUUGUGGAAAGACACCGCUUUUAUAGUCUCUGAACAUGUUGUCUUCUCUGAUAGAACUGUUAGUGUGAAACGAAUUUCAAGGAGUGUCCUUAUGAGCUGGACAGACGGCUACACGAGCUAAGAAAAGGCUUCAUGUGACAGGUUGAAGCUUCUUGGUGGAAAGACACUGCGUAUAUAGUCUCUGAAUAUAUACCAGAACUGUUUAGAAUCAACUCCAACUAUCAGAAUCGUCGUUACCCUCUCUUUAGGUAAGAAAUUCAGUGUUUCAAGUUUUAUUAGAAAACAAAAGUGUUUGUAAUCUUGUGAAGAAGCUUAAUGUUAAUUAGUGUUAAUCUCAUUGAACAGAGACCAAAUAAGAUAGAAGAUUAUGUAAA